UGCAUAAGAGGUAGUUUGGAUUUUUCUACAUACAUGACUUGAACCAAAUUAACUAACGAGAGAUCAAAGGAUCCAAGCAACAAGAGUCAAUAAAAUCUUCUCUCUUUUUUUUGAUGAAAUUUGGAGGAAGCGAGAAACUUCCUCCAAGAUAUAUUAGGAUUCAGAAAUGAAAUGGAAUAUGUGGAGUUGCUAAAAUCAUCAUCGGAGGAA
rnacentral:lncRNA from 1 species